UACGUAGGGGGCAAGCGUUGUCCGGAAUCAUUGGGCGUAAAGAGCGUGUAGGCGGUUCGGUAGGUCCGUUGUGAAAACUCGAGGCUCAACCUCGAGACGCCGAUGGAAACCCCCGAACUAGAGUCCGGAAGAGGAGAGUGGAAUUCCCGGUGUAGCGGUGAAAUGCGCAGAUAUCGGGAAGAACACCCGUGGCUAAGGCGGCUCUCUAGUACGGUACUGACGCUGAGACGCGAAAGCGUGGGGAGCGAACAGG
rnacentral:rRNA from 1 species